GAUUAAGUUAUUAAGGGCGCACGGUGGAUGCCUUGGCACUAGAAGCCGAUGAAGGACGUUACUAACGACGAUAUGCUUUGGGGAGCUGUAAGUAAGCUUUGAUCCAGAGAUUUCCGAAUGGGGAAACCCAGCAUGAGUUAUGUCAUGUUAUCGAUAUGUGAAUACAUAGCAUAUCAGAAGGCACACCCGGAGAACUGAAACAUCUUAGUACCCGGAGGAAGAGAAAGAAAAUUCGAUUCCCUUAGUAGCGGCGAGCGAAACGGGAAGAGCCCAAACCAACAAGCUUGCUUGUUGGGGUUGUAGGACACUCUAUACGGAGUUACAAAGGACGACAUUAGACGAAUCAUCUGGAAAGAUGAAUCAAAGAAGGUAAUAAUCCUGUAGUCGAAAAUGUUGUCUCUCUUGAGUGGAUCCUGAGUACGACGGAGCACGUGAAAUUCCGUCGGAAUCUGGGAGGACCAUCUCCUAAGGCUAAAUACUCUCUAGUGACCGAUAGUGAACCAGUACCGUGAGGGAAAGGUGAAAAGCACCCCGGA
rnacentral:rRNA from 1 species